CUAGCUUUUCUCUUCUGUCAACCCCACAAACGUUUGGCACGAUGAAGUGGGUAACCUUUAUUUCCCUUCUUUUUCUCUUUAGCUCAGCUUAUUCCAGGGGUGUGUUUCGUCGAGAUGCACAGUGAGGUUGCUCAUCGGUUUAAAGAUUUGGGAGAAGAAAAGUUCAAAGCCUUGGUGCUGAUUGCCUUUGCUCAGUAUCUUCAGCAGUGUCCAUUUGAAGAUCAUGUAAAAUUAGUGAACGAAGUAACUGAAUUUGCAAAAACAUGUGUUGCUGAUGAGUCAGCUGAAAAUUGUGACAAAUCACUUCAUACCCUUUUUGGAGACAAAUUAUGCACAGUUGCAACUCUUCGUGAAACCUAUGGUGAAAUGGCUGACUGCUGUGCAAAACAAGAACCUGAGAGAAAUGAAUGCUUCUUGCAACACAAAGAUGACAACCCAAACCUCCCCCGACUGGUGAGACCAGAGGUUGAUGUGAUGUGCACUGCUUUUCAUGACAAUGAAGAGACAUUUUUGAAAAAGUAAGUAAUCAGAU
rnacentral:sRNA from 1 species